rnacentral:rRNA from 1 species
GUAGGUGGCAAGCGUUGUCCGGAAUUAUUGGGCGUAAAGCGCGCGCAGGCGGUUCUUUAAGUCUGAUGUGAAAGCCCACGGCUCAACCGUGGAGGGUCAUUGGAAACUGGAGAACUUGAGUACAGAAGAGGAAAGCGGAAUUCCACGUGUAGCGGUGAAAUGCGUAGAGAUGUGGAGGAACACCAGUGGCGAAGGCGGCUUUCUGGUCUGUAACUGACGCUGAGGCGCGAAAGCGUGGGGAGCAAACAGGGAUUAGAUACCCUGGUAGUCCACGCCGUAAACGAUGAGUGCUAAGUGUUAGGGGGGUUUCCGGCCCCCCUUAGUGCUGCAGCUAACGCAUUAAGCACUCCGCCUGGGGAGUACGGCCGCAAGGCUG